GAUGAAGAACGCAGCGAAAUGCGAUACUUGGUGUGAAUUGCAGAAUCCCGUGAACCAUCGAGUCUUUGAACGCAAGUUGCGCCUCAAGCCACUAGGUUGAGGGCACGUCUGCCUGGGCGUCACAUAUCGUUGCCUGAUGCCAGUUUCCUCGUGAUGGGUGACUGUGCAGGGCGAAUGAUGGCUUCCCGUGAGCAUUGUUGCCUCAUGGUUGGUUGAAAAUUGAGUCCUUGGUAGGGAGCGCCGUGAUAGAUGGUGGUUGAGUGACGAACGAGACCCAAUCAUGUGAGACCCCUACCGAAUUUGGCCUUCAUGACCCACAUGCGUCUUUGGAACGCUCAUGACGAGACCUCAGGUCAGGCGGGGCUACCCGCUGAGUUUAAGCAUAUCAAUAAGCGGAGGA
rnacentral:misc_RNA from 1 species